rnacentral:rRNA from 1 species
AGACGUCUACAUUAGAUACCCCCGUAGUCCCAGCCGUAAACUAUGCGCGUUAGGUGUAUCGGUGACCACGAGUCACCGAGGUGCCGAAGGGAAACCGUGAAACGUGCCGCCUGGGAAGUACGGUCGCAAGGCUGAAACUUAAAGGAAUUGGCGGGGAGCACCACAACGGGUGGAGCCUGCGGUUUAAUUGGAUUCAACGCCGGACAUCUCACCGGAUAAGACAGCUGAAUGAUUGUCAAUCUGAAGGUUUUACAUGACUAGCUG